GGGGAAUUAGCUCAAAUGGGAGAGCGCUCGCUUUGCAUGCGAGGGGUAGCGGGAUCGAUACCCGCAUUCUCCA